GCUAGCUUUUAAUACGUUUAUUAUAUCACACUUUUAUUUUAAUAAAUCAAUAAUAUUUUAUUCAGAAAAAAUUAUCAAUAAUUUAAAAUUCUAAUUUCAUAUAUUAUAAAAUAAAUAUUUAACUAUUAAUUCAGUGACAUAAUAAUUACAUACGAAUGUAUCAAAUAUAUUUUUUAUUUUGUAUUUUUGUACGGAUAAAUUUGCAUCUAAAUGGGUAAUU
rnacentral:misc_RNA from 1 species